rnacentral:rRNA from 1 species
AAAGGAAGUUCGACGGGGGCCCGACACAAGCGGUGGAGUAUGUGGUUUAAUUCGAUGCAACGCGAAGAACCUUACCUGGUCUUGACAUCCCGGAGACCCUUAGGAAACUAGGGGGUGCUUCCAGUCUGGAAGAAUCUGGAGACAGGUGCUGCAUGGCUGUCGUCAGCUCGUGUCGUGAGAUGUUGGGUUAAGUCCCGCAACGAGCGCAACCCUUGCCUUAGUUGCCAGCAGUUCGGCUGGGCACUCUAAAGGGACUGCCGGUGUUAAACCGGAGGAAGGUGGGGAUGACGUCAAGUCCUCAUGGCCUUUAUGACCAGGGCUACACACGUACUACAAUGGCCGAUACAAAGGGCGGCGACACUGCGAGGUGAAGCCAAUCCCGUAAAAUCGGUCUCAGUCCGGAUUGGAGUCUGCAACUCGACUCCAUGAAGUUGGAAUCGCUAGUAAUCGUGGAUCAGCAUGCCACGGUGAAUACGUUCCCGGGCCUU